GGCCGUGUGCCCGAGUGGUCUAAGGGGACGGAUUGCAAAUCCGUUAGUCGUGGGUUCGAAUCCCACCGCGGCCU
rnacentral:tRNA from 1 species